rnacentral:tRNA from 1 species
GGGGAUUUAGCUCAGUGGUAGAGCACUUCCCUAGGAAGCGCAAGGCCCUGGGUUCAGUCCCCA